UACGUAGGGGGCAAGCGUUGUCCGGAAUCAUUGGGCGUAAAGCGCGUGUAGGCGGCUUGGUAAGUCUGCUCUGAAAGCCCGGGGCUCAACCCCGGGAGGCGGGUGGAUACUGUCAAGCUCGAGUCCGGAAGAGGAGUGUGGAAUUCCUGGUGUAGCGGUGAAAUGCGCAGAUAUCAGGAGGAACACCAAUGGCGAAGGCAGCACUCUGGGACGUGAC
rnacentral:rRNA from 1 species